AUGUUGAUGGAAGCCGACAAACGUUUGCAUGAGAAGACCACACAAUCACGUCUAUCCAUUGUAGGAAGGCUAAUGACUAUUAAAACACAACAUAAUCUGUCAGAAGCUUGUUACAAUGAGAUGAUGACUCUCAUACAUGACAUUGUUGGGGACGAUGCUGCAAAAGAUCUCCCAGCAAACUUCCAUAGGUCCAUGAAGCUUGUGCAUAGUCUAGCAAUGCCUUACGUCAAAAUUUAUGCAUGCCCCAAUAAUUGUAUGAUUUAUUAUAAAGAGAAUGAAAAUAAAGAAAAAUGCACUAUCUGCAAAGAACCUAGAUAUGAGGAAACAACCGCAGGAAAUAAAUCUACGAAGAUACCAAGAAAAGUUUUGCGCUAUCUCCCAAUUACUCCUAGGCUACAACGGUUGUACAUGUCACAAAGCACUGCCAAGCACAUGGACUAUCACGCAAGGCCUCAUAACAGCGAUGAAGUAAUGGUUCACCCUUCUCAUGGUGAAGCUUGGAAGGAAUUUAAUAAGGAAUUUAAAAAAUUUGCUGAGGAAGUAAGGAAUAUAAGGCUAUGUCUAGCGACUGACGGCUUCACACCUUUUGAAAUUAAAGCAGCCUCCUACUCAUGUUGGCCAGUAUUUGUUGUACCUUAUAAUCUUCCACCAGAAAUGUGCAUGAAGCAGAGUAACCUGAUCCUUGCACUAGUUAUUCCCGGUCCAGAUCAUCCAGGAAAGAACCUAAACGUUUUUAUGCAGCCUCUAGUUGACGAACUUGAUGAUUUGUGGAGAAAUGGUGUAGAAACUUAUGAUAGUUAUCGAAAGCAAAAUUUCACCUUGAAGGCAGGUUUGCUUUGGACUAUUCAUGACUUUCCAGCUUAUGGAUUAGUAGCAUGCUAG
rnacentral:rRNA from 1 species